GCAAUCCUCCUAGCUCAGUUGGUAGAGCAUGAGACUUUUAAUCUCAGGGUCAUGGGUUUGAGCAAACCCACAUUGAACA